rnacentral:rRNA from 1 species
AGUGAACGCUGGCGGUAGGCCUAACACAUGCAAGUCGAACGGCAGCACAGUAAGAGCUUGCUCUUACGGGUGGCGAGUGGCGGACGGGUGAGGAAUACAUCGGAAUCUACUUUUUCGUGGGGGAUAACGUAGGGAAACUUACGCUAAUACCGCAUACGACCUACGGGUGAAAUCAGGGGAUCUUCGGACCUUGCGCGAUUGAAUGAGCCGAUGUCGGAUUAGCUAGUUGGCGGGGUAAAGGCCCACCAAGGCGACGAUCCGUAGCUGGACUGAGAGGAUGAUCAGCCAAACUGGAACUGAGACACGGUACAGACUCCUACGGGAGGCAGCAGUGGGGAAUAUUGGACAAUGGGCGCAAGCCUGAUCCAGCCAUACCGCGUGGGUGAAGAAGGCAUUCGGGUUGUAAAGCCCUUUUGUUGGGAAAGAAAAGCAGCAGGUUAAUACCCCGCUGUUCUGACGGUACCCAAAGAAUAAGCACCGGCUAACUUCGUG